CCUACGGGCGGCAGCAGUGAGGAAUAUUGGUCAAUGGGCGGAAGCCUGAACCAGCCAAGUAGCGUGCGGGAUGAAGGCCCUACGGGUCGUAAACCGCGUUUGCACGGGGAAAACACCCUCCACUUGUGGAGGUCUGCAGUUACCGUACGAAUAAGGGCCGGCUAAUUCCGUGCCAGCAGCCGCGGUAAUACGGAAGGCCCGGGCGUUAUCCGGAUUCAUUGGGCUUAAAGGGAGCGUAGGCGGGCGUUAAAUUCAGCUGUAAAAUCACGCGGACAAACCGCGCCCCGCAGUUGAAACUGGACGCCUUGAGUUCACAACAGGCAGGCGGAAUUCGUGGUGUAGCGGUGAAAUGCAUAGAUAUCACGAGGAACCCCGAUGGCGAAGGCAGCCUGCCGGGGUGCGACUGACGCUGAGGCUCGAAGGUGUGGGUAUCAAACAGGAUUAGAUACCCGAGUAGUC
rnacentral:rRNA from 1 species